CUUAGCGCUGUGCCCUUCUGGUGCCCCUCUGGUUCUUCCACUUGCCAGCUGUGGUUUCUUCUCUGCCCAACCCUACAAUGAAUGGAGGCCCCCUUGAUGUUCCUUCCCAUAGAGGAUUUAUACCAAAAUGGCUGCCAGUGAAUCAGGCCUUCCGGACACCAGACCUGUUUUCUCAAGUUACCAACCUGGUGUGGCACCCUGUAUUUUCCAAGAUGGCGGCAGUAUGGUCUUCCAUCCUCCAUGUUCUUCUGGCAACAUGCCAAUCAGGAGGUGGGGUGGAGCAGACGGAGAAGGAGAGGGAGACACUUAAGCAGACUCUAGCAUGGACGCCUGACCUGGGGCUCCAAUUCAUGAUGCUGUGAUCAUGACCAGAGCCAAAAUCAGAGUGGAACGCUUAACCGGUGAGCCACUGGGGUGCCUCCCCACCCCUACCCCAACCCCUCUAUCUGAACAAUCACCAAGUCCUAAUGAUUUUAGAGACCAUAUAUCUCUAAUCCAGCAUCCUUCUCCACUCUGGCUACCAUGACCCCAUGUCAGAGCAUGACUCCCCUCUCCUGAAGGUCCUAAUGUCCAUUCUAUCUACCCCUUGUUCCCAGGAUAGCUAUUCUACUCUGCGACCCUAUCCCCCUGUAACAACUCUGCCAAAUGUCCUUUAAGGCCCAGGAGGAAACCACAGUUCUCUUAAGAAAACCAAUCUCAGAUCCUCCACAGCUGGUCUUAUGUAAAAGGGAAACGCUUCCUGGUUUCU